rnacentral:rRNA from 1 species
UACGAAGGGGGCUAGCGUUGCUCGGAAUCACUGGGCGUAAAGCGCACGUAGGCGGCUUUUUAAGUCAGGGGUGAAAUCCUGGAGCUCAACUCCAGAACUGCCUUUGAUACUGAAAGUCUUGAGUAUGGGAGAGGUGAGUGGAACUGCGAGUGUAGAGGUGAAAUUCGUAGAUAUUCGCAAGAACACCAGUGGCGAAGGCGGCUCACUGGCCCAUAACUGACGCUGAGGCACGAAAGCGUG